AAUGCAGAUGAACCAACGGAGCCUUCUGGACCAACAUCUUCAACGGUGACAACAGAUGAACCAAGGACGCCUUCUGGACCAACAUCUUCAAGGGUGACAACAGAUGAACCAAGGAAGCCUUCUGGACCAACAUCUUCAAGGGUGACAACAGAUGAACCAACGAAGCCUUCUGGACCAAC